rnacentral:rRNA from 1 species
UACGGAGGGGGCUAGCGUUGUUCGGAAUUACUGGGCGUAAAGCGCACGUAGGCGGAUAUUUAAGUCAGGGGUGAAAUCCCGGGGCUCAACCCCGGAACUGCCUUUGAUACUGGGUAUCUGGAGGUCGAGAGAGGCGAGUGGAAUUCCGAGUGUAGAGGUGAAAUUCGUAGAUAUUCGGAGGAACACCAGUGGCGAAGGCGGCGCGCUGGCGCGAUACUGACGCUGAGGUGCGAAAGCGUGGGGAGCAAACAGG